UUUUUUUUAAUUUUUGAGAUUGAGAUUCAGUUAGAAGAAGGUUUGAAACCGGAACUGCAUAGGGAGCGAGAAAAGCUUUUGGGUGAUCGCAGAAUGAACUGGACUCUGCUUGUGGAUGGGAAACGCAUAUCUGGUCCCAGUCGCAUAUGUGGUCCCAGUCAAAGGAGAGACAUGUCAUCAAUGCAGGUAAACUCAAUACAGACACAAAACUCUUGGCCACCUUACACAUUGCAGCAAAUGCAGGUUGGUCCAAGGCCAACUUUGUGGAGAUUACUUAUACACGAGUUAAUUAUUUUUAUUUUCUACCAUUUUCGUGGUAGUACUAUUUUACUUCCCCAAAACCUAAUCAAGAUUUUGGGUCUAUUUGUAAAGGGGUGGGGAGAAUGUGAACUGAAGUAAACCAAAAUCCCAGUUGGAUUUGUCCUGUUUGUCGUGGAAUUUGCAACUGCAGCUUAUCUACAGAAAAGUUAUACAUUAUAAUA